AUUAAACGCUGGCGGCAUGCCUUACACAUGCAAGUCGAACGGCAGCACGGGGGCAACCCUGGUGGCGAGUGGCGAACGGGUGAGUAAAGCAUCGGAACGUGCCCUGGAGUGGGGGAUAACGUAGCGAAAGUUACGCUAAUACCGCAUAUUCUGUGAGCAGGAAAGCAGGGGAUCGCAAGACCUUGCGCUCUGGGAGCGGCCGAUGUCGGAUUAGCUAGUUGGUGGGGUAAAGGCCUACCAAGGCGACGAUCCGUAGCGGGUCUGAGAGGAUGAUCCGCCACACUGGGACUGAGACACGGCCCAGACUCCUACGGGAGGCAGCAGUGGGGAAUUUUGGACAAUGGGCGAAAGCCUGAUCCAGCCAUGCCGCGUGAGUGAAGAAGGCCUCGGUGU
rnacentral:rRNA from 1 species